UACGGUGAAUACGUUCCCGGACCUUGCACACACCGCCCGUCAAGCCAUGGAAGCUGGGUGUACCUAAAGUCGGUAACCGUAAGGAGCCGCCUAGGGUAAAACUAGUGACUGGGGCU
rnacentral:rRNA from 1 species